rnacentral:rRNA from 1 species
UACAGAGGUCUCAAGCGUUGUUCGGAUUCAUUGGGCGUAAAGGGUGCGUAGGCGGCGCGGUAAGUCGGGUGUGAAAUCUCGGAGCUUAACUCCGAAACUGCAUUCGAUACUGCCGUGCUUGAGGACUGGAGAGGAGACUGGAAUUUACGGUGUAGCGGUGAAAUGCGUAGAUAUCUGGAGGAAUACCGGUGGCGAAGGCGGCAUCCUGGACCGGCAUUGACGCUGAGGAGCGAAAGCUAGGGGAGCAAACGGGG